UGGCAAACGGGUGAGUAACGCGUGAGUAACCUGCCCUAGAGUGGGGGACAACAGUUGGAAACGACUGCUAAUACCGCAUAAGCCCACGGAUCCGCAUGGAUCUGCGGGAAAAGGAUUUAUUCGCUUUAGGAUGGACUCGCGUCCAAUUAGCUAGUUGGUGAGGUAACGGCCCACCAAGGCGACGAUUGGUAGCCGGACUGAGAGGUUGAACGGCCACAUUGGGACUGAGACACGGCCCAG
rnacentral:rRNA from 1 species